rnacentral:rRNA from 1 species
GACUUCCUACGGGGGGCAGCAGUGGGGAAUAUUGCGCAAUGGGCGAAAGCCUGACGCAGCGACGCCGCGUGAGGGAUGAAGGUCUUCGGAUCGUAAACCUCUGUCAGCAGGGAAGAACGGUCACUGUGCUAAUCAGCAGUGAAUUGACGGUACCUGCAAAGGAAGCACCGGCUAACUCCGUGCCAGCAGCCGCGGUAAUACGGAGGGCGCGAGCGUUAAUCGGAAUUACUGGGCAUAAAGCGCUCGUAGGCGGUAUGUCAAGUCAAGGGUGAAAUCCCCGCGCCCAAAGUGGGAACUG